UGGUCAUGUGACAUUCACAAGUUGAGCCGUGAUUGGUCAUUACCGGAGCUUUGCACAACUGACGUCAUUUUAAGGCGACAUCAUUUAGCAAAAUGGCCGCCCUCGAUAUUCUUUGGUCUUCUCAGAGUAAGACAGAAGAAAAGUAAAAUAAAUAGUAAUUACACAUUGAUGUUUUGUUAUAAUUGUCUUUAUGUGAUGGCCUGACAUGAAAAAUUAGCAUAAUAUAUUUUGAGAUAGAAAGCAGAUACAUCAAUUCAGCUGUUGUCGAUUUUCUUUCCUAUGAACUUGGUGUGGCAUUACACUCGCAAUGAAACGUAAGUAUCGUCAAAUAAUGAAAAAUGUGCAGGUGGAUUUUAAGAUUUAUUCUCAAGCUUUCCUCUCUUAUGGACUGAGGACCCCACCAGGACUUAAUCAGUACUACAAUGCAGGAAAUGCCAAGUCAUGCUCACCCUGGAAAAAACGAUAUAGAAGGAUGGAAGAGGACCACCUACUCAGAAGGAAUGACUCACUAUGAAAACAUCUGAGGCCGCUCCGAGACGGCAGGAAUGCCGAGGAGACUCGAGAGGCACCGUGGAAUGACGAUUAACUUCACAUGUUUUGGUGCCUUAUGCACACUGAUUGUCCUUACCUUGCUGGUGGCAGUGGCGCUGGAGCCAAGGACCACGGGGACGUUGGUCACCUGCACGGACAGGAAGCGGUUGUCGAUCAGAGGCCACGCCCCUUCCACUUUGCAGAACCGGCGGCGAGAACCCGGUUCUCGUAGUUGCACAGCUCCGACACGGCCGGCCGGGACGUGCUGGGGACCUUGGCGGAGGACGUGGGUCCGUCGCUGGAGCAGUUGUGCUGAGAGAAUAGCUCCUUGAUGCGGAAGAC